rnacentral:rRNA from 1 species
AUUGAACGCUGGCGGCAGGCCUAACACAUGCAAGUCGAACGGUAACAGGAAGCAGCUUGCUGCUUUGCUGACGAGUGGCGGACGGGUGAGUCAUGUCUGGGAAACUGCCUGAUGGAGGGGGAUAACUACUGGAAACGGUAGCUAAUACCGCAUAACGUCGCAAGACCAAAGAGGGGGACCUUCGGGCCUCUUGCCAUCGGAUGUGCCCAGAUGGGAUUAGCUAGUAGGUGGGGUAAAGGCUCACCUAGGCGACGAUCCCUAGCUGGUCUGAGAGGAUGACCAGCCACACUGGAACUGAGACACGGUCCAGACUCCUACGGGAGGCAGCAGUGGGGAAUAUUGCACAAUGGGCGCAAGCCUGAUGCAGCCAUGCCGCGUGUAUGAAGAAGGCCUUCGGGUUGUAAAGUACUUUCAGCGGGGAGGAAGGGAGUAAAGUUAAUACCUUUGCUUAUUGACGUUACCCGCAGAAGAAGCACCGGCUAACUCCGUG